UUUUAAUGUAAUUUGGAUUUUCUUUAAUGUUUCUAAGGUUUCUGGCACAAUUAAGAAAUCCAGUGGCUCAGUCUUUUACCAAAGAGGUCAUUCUCCUGCCAGACCAUACAUAUACAAAUGUGCCUAGGCGUGCCAGCAAAGCUUGGCUUUUUGAAAAUGGACAUAUAAAAUCUGCAUUGGAAUUUGGCUGUGACUGGGACUCUGUCAAAGUAAUGCAGGCAAUAACAGCGGCCUUCCAGCCUGUUGUAGAGGGAUGCAGGUUACAAAUCUUGAUGCCAUGCCACAACAGACUAGUUGAGCCAUCCCUUAGCUCCAAUCAGUGGAGGCCUUUUAAAAAAAUUGUUUCAUCAGAAGUCCAUAUAUGUCAGGCCUGACAAGGUCAUUUUAAGUGAGGAGAAAGAAUCUUCAUGUUCUGAUGGAGACAGUCACCAUGCAGGGAGCCUUGAUUUCGCCCAGUCAUCGGACAGUGACAACUGUGUCAUUGGUAGCGUAGGUGACAUUUCCAAAGAAGUUGUCUCAGCUAUCGCCACUGUUGAGGCCCAGUCCCUCUUCAAUGAUAACCCUUCCAUCUCUUGUGGUGAUCAAGUUAUCUGGUGUGUUGCCACCCAAGAUAUUUGCACCGAUGAACCUUCCAUCUCAGCUGACACCGCCACCAUGUCCACUAGUGCUCCUGUCAUCACUAUUGAUGAGACUCUCACCCUGUCCAGUGGCUCCUCUUCCAUCUCCAGUGGCAACACCCAUGGCUUACCGAUUGGUCCCACUGCCAAUGCUAGUGGUGACAUGCAUCGGUCCUCUGCUCAUAACACCUCUGGUGUGUCCCACGGUCCCACCCAACCCAGCACAUCUGGCAGUAUUUCAUCCAGCACAUCCUACAGUACAUACCUUGACCUGUUUGAGGAAGAAUACCUCUCUGAUGACCCUGAUGUACAGGAAGCCAUUUCACGGUCUUUAGAUUCCAGUGCAAGUGAGAGUGAUUUAAAGAUGACUUUAGAGAGAAUAAUGGAGCGGAUUGCUUCUCGAGUAAAUAAUGACAGCACUGUACGCUUCAAUAUCAUAAGAAGAAAUGUGCAUCCAGAGCCAUGGGCAGAUCCAAUUUUUCACCCGAGAAGAAGGUAGAUGUUAAGUUCACUGAUGACUAUGGAAUAUCUGAGGGUGCUGUGGACAAUGGAGGACCUACUCGGGAGUUUUUCCGACUCUGUCUACAUGAAAUCAAGGACAACAUUGGCAUCUUUGAGGGUCCCCCUAAUGCUAAAGUCCUCACAUGCAACUCCAAAGCGAUGAAAGACAAUGGAUACUUCUACGCUGGCCAGAUCAUGGCAAUGUCAACUGCCCAUGGGGGGCAGAGUCCAUGUUUCCUGUCUGAACUCUUGUGAGUGUCUUCAAAAGGGUCCAGACAACGUAAAGGUCAAAACUGAACACAUUACUGAUGAAGAAACAAGGUCACAGGUGCAGUCGAUCUUACAGGCUGAGACUGAUUCACAACUGCAAGAGGCAGUUGCACAGGCAGCCAGCUUGAUCAGUCUUGCUGGUCACAAUGUUCGCAUAACACUGGAAAACAAACAAGAGACUGCUUUGGACUUGGCUCACUUGUAUGUCCUCCAGCGAACCCGUGCACCAUUUGAAAGGUUCAGAGAUGGGUUAACAUCUCUUGAUGUCCUAGAUGCUAUCCAGAGAUACCCUCUACAAAGUGCCUUUUUGUGAAGCCCGAAAAGGGUUUCUCCUCCAGAUCAUACACUCUGAAAGAGGGAGUAAUGCAUUCCGAGAAGAGUGCCGGGCCCUGGCUUUCUGGCAAGACUAUCUUCAGGAUGCUGAAAGUAAGUCUGGCAUUUGGCACAGUGUUUCAAUAUGAGACAUUAUUUGGAGUUAAAGCCCUGCAGGGGGCAGAACCUUACUGACGCGCUGGUUUAUUAUUGUCUUCUGCGGUGGGUCAAAUGGUCUUGAGCUGGAAUGAGCAUCUGUCUUCCUAGUUCAGGUGGUGAAUAAAUGGGAGAGUGAUGUGUGAUGCUCCUUCUCCCCUGGUCUCUCAUCCAUAUAUCGCUACUAAAUCCUCCUCUACCUCCACCACCCACAAACUUGUCUGCUGAUACCUUUGCUGCCUUCUUCACAGGCAAAGUGGAGGCUAUAACUAGCCAAU